rnacentral:rRNA from 1 species
CCCUUAGAUGUUCUGGGCUGCACGCGCGCUACACUGAUGCAUCCAACAAGUUUUUUCCUUGUUCGAGAGGACUAGGUAAUCUUUUGAGAAUGCAUCGUGAUGGGGAUAGAUUAUUGCAAUUAUUAAUCUUCAACGAGGAAUUCCUAGUAAGCGCGAGUCAUCAGCUCGUGCUGAUUACGUCCCUGCCCUUUGUACACACCGCCCGUCGCUCCUACUGAUUGGGUGAUCCGGUGAGCUGUUCGGCCAUAGCAAUGUUUCUUGAGCAGGGCAAUGAAUGUUUCGCAAACCUUGCCACUUAGAGGAAGGAGAAGUCGUAACA